UUCAUUCUCUCUCAAGUGUACACAUAAAUCCCCCCAAGUUUUCCUAAAAUAUGGAAUCCUUAGAUUCUUAGAAGACCCGCAAGGGAAGAAGAACAAUCGACGUUGGAAUGGAGGGGGGCUAUGGAUCAGGUGCUGGUGGAGGAGAAGGGGAGGAUUUGGUUGUGGUUUUGGCGGUGGUAGUGGAGGAGGCAAUGGUGGCAGUCGAUAUGGCUGGGGGUAGUGGCGGUGGUGGUGGUGAAGGUAAUGGUGGUUGUGGUGUUUCUCACCAGUGUUAGGUCGUUGUCCAUCUCAACCAGUGGGUUUUUGGGAGGAGAAAGAGAUUACGGGAAAUUGAAAGAUAAUAAAGGGCCUCUCGUCAUCAUCUACCUACAUUUCCUGUGAAUUCAAGCUUGUUCAUAUUUUUUGAAUUAACUUUUCCUUUUUUGUGAUUCUAAUUUUUUGAUUUGUGUAAUUUCA
rnacentral:lncRNA from 1 species